rnacentral:lncRNA from 1 species
CAGCGAGGACUGGGAAGGCCGCCUUUCACCUGGAAGUUGGAGGGACGAGGAAGCAGUCGGUGGAGCGCUCUUGCCACCGAGACCUACUGGCUGCAAUGCUGCGAGGUAUGCGAAGCAAGUGCGAGACAAACUGGCGCACCACUUCGUCACAGACGGUCAAGUUCCCUGGCAAGACAAAGUGGUGAACAGCGCUUGAAGUAUACAAGUUCAAGGUGUGUUGUAAAUGCAUUUUAUUGCUUAUAGAACUUCUCGUACAUGGCCUCUUUUUGAGC